GCCCCUAUAGCUCAGCUGGUAGAGCAGCAGUUUUGUAAACUGACGGUCGGCGGUUCGAGUCCGUCUGGGGGCACCA
rnacentral:tRNA from 3 species